ensembl:lncRNA
GCCUCAAACAGAAUAAGCACAUCAAAGGUAACGCCAAGAUCCAACUCCUGUCAUCUUAGCAACAAAUGCCGGCUAAAGAGGACCAGGAAUUAAUAAGAAUAGUAAAUUAAACCAAAUACCACAAGAUGUGAGUAAAUACAGACACGGGCUGUCUGUAAUAAAUAACGGGCUGUUGUGUUUCCAUUAAAAUACAGCUCGACAUUUUCCUGCACUUGCAUGCUACACCAAGUUAUCUGCAUGCGACUUCCUUCCAGCUGUGCCAAGAUGUAUUAAAUACGCACAUUCGGGGGGGAGGAGGCAUCCACAAACAAUAAUGAGUGAAAGGGACUCCCCGGAGAGCAGGGCCGGGACAAACGGCACAACGCUGCAAAGACUCCGGCAAUGCGAUGCAGCGAUACACACUCCCACGAGCACGCCACCUGUUUGUCGUCCCCGACGCUGCUGCGCACACCCGGUGCACAGCAGAGAGUUUUGAUACGUGUCGAAUGUGCUCAAACGGCUAGUGUAUAGCGUGCGGAAUCGCGAGGCCAGAAGCGUUGUUUUCCGUUCACCUGGGACGUAGACUGACAACGUGACAUUUGAUUGGUACAAUCACAACGGUGAUUUUGUCGUGCAACGUCUAAAAAUAAUGCAGGAAACACAUCUUUUUAACAGUCAAAAAAUCAUGUCGCAGUGAUUUUCGGAUGCAUUAUUAAUGUUUUUCAUGUAAAUUUGAAGAAAGAAAGACAUUUUGAGAUACACGAAUUCCUCCUUAGCAGCCAAGCAUCUGCAUUUGUGGGACAUUAUGCACGUUUGAAUGACAGGUUAGUCAGCAGGGGGGGGGGGGGGGGGGGGGGGCAGUUCAAGGCUCGACGAGCCACUUCUGGGGAUUUAUUGUGAGUAAAUGCUUUUGUGCAAAUUAUUAUCUGAAGUAUAAACCCAACAUUUCUUACAAUACAGCGAGACAUGUGACAUUAAACAUUUAUUUUAUAAUCUAUUACGUCAGUUUUGAAAGAAAGAAGAAGUUAACAGAAUAUGCCUCAUUGUUGCAUUACAGAUUAAAGUAAGCGGUAUGAUGCUUAAUGAAAUUGUACAUUAUUACUGGUGUGAAGUGAAAGUAGAAUCUCCAACAUGGCCACAUGUGUAUAGAUUAUGUAUCGCAACUACAUUGCAAGAUUAAGAAAAACUCAUAAUAAAUUAGGCUUAAUAAGCUAAAGACGGAUUUCCCAGACGGAGUUAUUCAAUGUCACCCAAGAAUAAAAUCUGAAUGGCAUCUCGUUUGCGACGUGUUCGCCAUCUGUUCUCCAGAUUUAUGAACUUGUCAGUGGUUUGUGAUUUUCAUUUCUCUUCCUAACCCCGUUUCUUUAGCUGAUUAAUCUCUCUCUUUGUACCCGCGUUGGGCUAGUUUAGCAAAGUUGUUUUUCCUCCUCCCCGAUGUCAGCCAUGAGGAAUAUGGUUUCAUAUCGCCAUGCUUGUCAUAUAGUCACAACGGUCUGUGUGCGUGUGUGUGUGUGUGUGCUUGGAACUGUGACAGAUUAACUGGGCGUGAGUUUGCCAUGUAGACAGCCAUUGUGUGAAUCUGUGUGUGUGUGUGUGCAUCAGGUGGGUGCAUAGAGCAGAAGGGAGGCGGCUGAAGCUACAGUGUCUCUGACAGAUGAAGUUGAGGGGUGGAAAGGAGGGAGCGUCUGCCUGGGGAGCUGCGGCACUUCUUUGGGUGGGUGGGACCAAGAGGAGCAUGCAGGUAGUGGUGGCAGAUGAUAUUAAUACACUCAGGUGCCCGUGCAUGGCGACGGCGUGGCACACGCCGUGGCACAAAGUGACAAAUAGGCAGCGAGAGUGCCGUAGAGUGAGUCCAUGCGGCUGUUUUAACAUCUUUUUUUUUUUUUGUAAUGAAAAAUCAAAUUGCUGUUGCAGUUUCUCAUUGGACGCCAUGACGCCAUGGGGUAUUACAAAUGUUGAAUAUGCAACACAACCCAACGUGCAGAGAACGGAAAAAUGCCACAAACUGAGCUUGCGUAUUUGAGUUAUCAAAAAGCAUUAUUACACCAAAUAAAGGAGUGACACAUAUGUAUGUGUUAAAUCGACUCAAACCAAAUAUUCAUUCCUUUUGUCCGCCGUUGAGUCAUUUAUUGUGACGUAUUCGGGGUCAAUAAGAUGCCGGCUAAGCUUCAUGCUAAAUUAGUUGGGUUUGAAGAAGCGCAUUCCUGCAUAUAAAGCAAUUUUAGCACCAAUUCCACAAAUAGAUUAAAAUAGAAGCUGUUGCAUUGUGCAAUUUUUUAACGCAUAGUUAGUCAAAUAGGGAACAAUGACAACAAGGAGCAACGCUUGUCACAACAAGUGAGAUUCAUCAGUUUCGAUGCAAUUGCCUUCAGUCAGACUUUAUUAAAAUCCAGACGAGUAAACAGCUGUCGGUUUGACCUUUUGACCCCGGGUGCUUCAAUCUGUUUUUGAAAGCUCAGAAAAUCCUCCAAUCGAAUGUCUACAACUUUAUUCAACAGACCGCCCGACCUGCACUUCGGGUAAUAGAGACUGUAAACUUUUUAUGUUCACGGCAAACGUCUCACUGUCAAACACAAAUAAAUUGCAGAGAGCCCAUGAUGACUGAACCGGAGCGUCCUGUCCUGCCUUUCAGAAUGACAGUUAGAGCAGAAUCGCACACCUCUGAGGUUGAAAGCAGGUAAUUUGCAUUUGAAAAGUGACAGCAACAAUGUCUACAAGUGCUCAUUAGGAAGACGGCGAAUAUUAGGCUGUGACAUUGCAGAGAUCUUUUCAGUAUAAAUUGACACUUCGCAGUUGUGAACAAAGUGGCUUUGUUUUAACCAAUGUGUAUAACUUGGAAGAAAUAAGUCUUUUAAUCAUGUAAUAUGCCUGAGAUGAAACAAAGCGGUGCAACAAGCUUUUAUACGAAUCCUGAAGAUCAAAAGCCGUCACCUCCGAGCUCCAACAAAAAAAACACACAAACUUGAGAACAUGUCCCGUAUUUCCAACAGUAUUCCUGUCAGAUCUGCUCUCCCAGCCUCUGUCUCGUGUGUUGCUCACACCGGUCCUGAUUGACGCCCACCGCCUCGGCAGCGGCUCGUUCUCCGUCGCUAACGAGAGGCCUUUUCAACCCGCCGGUGCAGCCGCGCAUUGCUCAUCCGUCCUCGUGGCCCGGGAUACCAGCACACCCAGCGCUCACAGCAAAAGCGAAAGCCUACUCAGUGGUCCAUUUUUGAAUCAUCCGUCUCCCCUCGGUAUUGAAUUCCACAAAUGGAAGCGCCGUGCGAGAGCGUUCUCAUCUUCAGAAGCGUUUUCUAUGCCGUUCGCGGAGGCAGAAGACUCGAUUUCAGGCUUUCGGUCUUUUAUUUAUUACACAACGAUUAUUAAACCAACAAAAUAUACAUACAUAUAUACAUUUUUUUCUUAUUUUAGAGUUUUACUGCUGAGUGCGGCCUGAGUCUCCUCGAGGGAGAGACGAUGGUUUUUGUACCUCCUCGUCUCCUGAGCCUGACCUGUUUCUCCCCGACAGGCUGACAGUCACAACGCCACGUCUCAAAGCGCCGGGGCUUGUCCUCUGAUCACUGACCCAGUGCCAAACAUGUCUAUUUAGAGCCCGCCUCCCACUGCCCAACCCCCCGAAGACACCGGAGACGCAAUCAAAUACGAUCCUCGGAUUAGCGAGACGCCAGGUGAGUCACGCCUUCCCUUUGUGCUUUACCUCUCACCCCGUCGGCGCCUUCGGGGAUCUUUGCAGACAAGGUCCCUGCAUGCAUAUGUGCAUAUCUGUCCAUUUUUCUUCAUGACUGAGGGCGACGUGUCACAAGCAUUUAGCGUGAGGGAUGAGCACGGUGGCACAAACAGAUUGGUAAAAUAUGAAAAUUGGAUGACAAUUAAUGGCUAUGUGCUGUUAAGCGCAGAGGAUAAUGAUAGUGUGUGUGCACCUAGGCCUCGCCGUGCCCGCCAUCAAUAUUCAGUCUUUGAAUAGGAACCCGCCACCAUGUUCUCGCCCGUCUGCAGGCUUUUUUUUUGUAUGUCCUCUGUGCACCAAAUUGUUAAAUAGAGAAGCUGAUGAGGUGGAAUGUCAAAGUAGAUCGCACAAGACAGGCCCCCGACUUGAGAAGAGAAGAAAUCAUCGUUUUCAUUGCUUUUCUUCCAUCUUUUUUUUUCACCGGCUGAAACCGAUGAUGUGACAAUCGGAUUUGAAAUUGCUGUAGGUUUGCGGGGGAAAGGAGGAUGAGGAAGAUGGGAGGGGAGCGCUGUGCGGCGGCAGAAAUACGGAGGUUUGGGGGGGGUUGAGGGGGAAUCCAUGUUCAAGUCAGUGUGUCUGUCACUUUUGUGUUUCCGAGUCAUUUGAGCGCACGCGGGAAUGAUUGUCGCGGUGAUCCGUCUCCUGAGUAGCGGAAGAGAGGGAUGAAGAGACGUUGGGCCCCGCAGCCGGUCGGCGAGGAGCCAUCGGGUGCGCCAUCUCUGAGGCGUAUCCUCAAGGUUGGCGCGCCGAGAGGUGGGAGAGAGAGAGAGGAGUCGGUUCGCGGGGACGUAAACGCCUGGCGGCAGCGGCGCUCUGGGGAGUCAACAAAGUGUCGAGGUGCCACGGAGGAGAUUGUAAAGGGGUUUUAUUUACUUCCUACACAUUAUGGUCGACUUGAGCUUCGUUCGUUGAACGUGCACAAUAGUCCACUUACCUCUCCGCAUGGUUCUCCAAUACAUCGAUCAAGACACGGCACACGUGUCUUUUCUUUUCGUGCGGGGUCCACAUGGCCCAGCUAAGCCCCCGUGCCCAUUGUCUACCCUUCCCUAUUUUUUCCACCCUGCCCUUCUCUGGCCUUUAUUGCCGGUCGCGGACAUUGUGAGGCUAUUACAAGACAGGACACCAUAAUUAACGGGGCGCCUUGGCGUGAACUUUCUCCCUGGCCGACCGCUCUGCGGUCCGGGGAGCACAGACGGAGGGAUUCAGACACCGCUAAUGGGAAUCGGACGAGUUAAAGCACACACCGAACCAUGGCUGGGUAUUGACAGACCCUUGUGCAUGGAGAACAGGAAGGUGCCUCCUAACGCCGCCGAAUGAGGGAUGUGGUGUCGACGCAUUAACUACUUUGGUCAUCGCAGUGUGUGUGUGUGUGUGUGUGUGUGUCGAUGGAUUUUUCGUUACUUUCUCAACCUCUGGGUUAAAAAAGCUCCUUUUUUUCCCUCCCGCCGUCCCAUCAACGCUUUCCUGGGAGGGGGGUGGGGGCACCUACAUCAGAUCCUUCACGCUUGUCAAGAUUCAGGCCUCUCGUCAAGCUCUGCACUCUGCCUGUACCCUUCCCUCCUCGACGGCAUUUUGUUUUCGUCCUGACGGGAAACACUAAGCGGAGCAUAUUGAGGAGUGCGAUGGAAGAGGGACGACGGGUGGAGGAGGGGUGGGGGGGGGGUGGAGGGGCGUUGAUAAUCCGAAAGAGGCGACAACAGUCAUUCGUCUGGGUGUCGGCAGGUUGACUUCUCUGACUGAAGAGGGGAAUAAUUGCGAGGAUAUCCUUAGUGAUGAACUCAAAGAAGCAAUUACGUAACAAACAAGCAGAGCACCAACAGGAAUUUAGCUCUCUUGAGGCGAGGAAGCUACGAUACCUGUGGUUUCCAGUUCAAAAAUCUCUUUUUCCCCAAUACUUGCCAUUUCACGGGCAGGAAUGAUCUAUCUUCUUUUUCUCCGCAGACACGCGCAUGCAAACCGAGGCUUGAGGAUUAGCGGGACUAAUCAAAAGCUGGUACAGUACAAAGCGUCGAUAUUGGCUUGUCUGCGAGACGCCUUCGGUUUGAUCACGUCGCUCCGGCAGAAGACAGAGUCCCAAAGCAAGUUUCUUCCCCACGCUGCCGUCUCCGCUGUCCUUAACGCCGCCUCUUCCUCUCUCUCACAACCUUCGCUCUUCUUUUCUUCCCUUCCCUUUCUUCAUUCCUCUCUCAUUAUUCUCAUUCACUCUCUUCUCCCUCGCAGACUUUCGCCGGCGCUUCAUUUGCAACAGCGUCCCCCCCGGGUCAGCCGGGGUGGGUGUGGUACCGAAUGUGAAGUAAUCUCACUUGCUUGAUUCCAUCAAUCCUCUUUUUCACCCGGGGUUUUGAACACCUCAAUCAAAACCACCCCUCAAGGUCGCCUUUGUAGCGUGCUCGGCAGAUUAAGUCCCCCGUCCGCGUGCGGCGUGUGCUUUGAACCGGAGACGUCACCCGGAGAGAAAGAUAAAGAAGCGAGGGAGGGGAGGGAGAGGAAGGCCCGGGCUACUGCUGAGAUGGAAGAACUUUGGCUUUUCCCCUUUCGCGAGGAUAUUCUGUUUUAAAAAGCAGCAGAGAUAAACAUUCAAGGUCGAACAAACAUUUGUUCUCAUUUAGAAAUGUGCGGGCCCAAUAUACAGCGAAUAGACACAGCAUACAACGGCGUUAUCGGAAAUCGGAACUUGUGCAACGUGGUUUUCCCGCGGCGCCCCCGCCGAGGUCCUAGCGCGCUGUCGUCGACACUUCAGCGCCUGGAAACCGCUCCAGGUACCGUCCCAGGUACCGUACCAGGUACCGUCCCAGGUACCGUCCCAGGUACCGUACCAGGUACCGUUCGUGGAGCGAGGCGUUGUGGUUGGAAGGGACGGGCGUUGUGAAUGGUCUGCUGGACGUGGUGCUCAAUUUACACCAGUCUAUCAUCUGGCACAAUGUUAGAGAGAGAGAGAGAGAGGAGUGAGGAGCUAGAGGAGUGAGGCGCCCACGUUGUCUUCCUCAUGAACUGAAUACCAACCGAGCGCCGGGAGUGUUUCCCCCCCGCGUCUUUCUCUCACUGCGGAACGAUUGUUUGCAGAACCCUCCACCCCGGCCUCUCCACAGUCACAGCAUACCUCACGUUUUAAGGCC